UUCUGGAUUCGGUUUAAUCAUUCUGCUUUCUAUCAGAAUGAUAGUGCUACCUUUCGUGAACUUGGUCAUAAUGCAUUUCACAGAGCUGUUGUGUUUGUGCAUUGCAUUGCGGCAUUUCCAUUAUAUAUACCAUCUCUUUGCUAGCUCCCGCUGUUUUUUCCACCUGCUAGAGUCAUCCGUUGUCAUCAAAUGACUGUGUUGGGAUGGAUAUGCAAACAUUCUGAACAUCAGCUUUUCAGCACAUGCAGAGAUCUCUAACCUCUUCUUGGAGAAGUCACUUACCAUCAGUUUUAAAUACCAUUGCAGACACUACCACUGGUGUUUAAUCUAGCUUUUAUCAAAAAGCUGCAACUGAAAGUGUCUACCAGCUUCUAGAACAGUUUUGUCAGGAGACGCUUCUUGAAUCUGUGGUUGCAUUUCUCAUCAGAAUUUUCAAGGAGGAGAUUCUACCAAGAGACCUGUGACAAUGAAUGUAAAAAUCUGGGCAAAAGUUCUUUUCCCACACUUAAGAACAUAUUAGAUGAGUAAGCUAGCCAGUUAAUUAUUGACAGAGGUGAGAUCUCACUUGACCAUUUUUGUGAUUUUUGUCCUUCCAGAAGUUUUCAAAAGGUUCUUGAUUUUAUACUGAUGGGGGACAAGAAAAGUUUUGCAGGAUGGGAAAACUGUUUAACAUCCAGAUCUAGCAAAUACUGUAUAAACAGUUUUGCCAACCUCAGACAUUCAAAAUUAUGAGUCAGUUCCCAAAAUUGAUAUUUUAGAAAUGCCUUUGGUUUAUUUUUAUUUGCACUUGAAACUCUAAGCCUAGGGUGCUCUCUCAGGCCUCAUUACAAAGUUAAGAUGCUCAUAAGCCCCACAUUUAAUUUCAUAGCUGGGUUUUUUAAUAAAACACACAAAAGUGAGACUUGUAAAUGUAUGAGCAUUUUGGGAAUGUUUUAAAAGUAUUGGCUUUAAUUAAAUAAUGAAACAGAAUUUUUAACAGCUUUAUCUUCUGUCAGUGCUUACCUGAGUCAUAUUGAAGUUCUGUUUUGAAAGAUGACACUACUUUACUCAUCAAGUUUUUCUGCCCUGUUAUCUUUACCAAAUUGACAAAAAUAACUUUCAGCUGUUUUUUUAACUCUUUUCAGUUCUGCAAAACCAACACAGCUGUGUGAGAAUGAGAUUCUUUUUUCUCUGUGCAUUGUCAGUGUGAUUGUUUGCUGUGGUCCAAUGGGCCACGUUUAUGCAGCCUCACUUAAGGCAGUGCACUGUUGUAAUUAAAGUUCUAAUUUGGACUGCUGAUGGAUUUUUAUUUUGGGCAUUAGAGAAAAAGGAGAGCAGCACAACUGAAAUUUUGUGAAAUUGUAAAUUUAGGAUUUGGAAUGUGGGGUUUUGUUUGGUGUUUUUUUUCUUUUUUCCCUGAAGUUGCUUUCCUGACCAGAAUCCAUUUCAGAUUCCUGCACCACUGAAGUCUCUUCUGCCACUCCAUCUCAAAUAUUUUGGAGGAAGACUCCUCACUAUUUCGACUUUAUUUAGCUAUUGAAUUGCCUUCGUCUGUUGUAUGUAUGGAGAGUCUAUUUAGAAAGGUAGUAGGACAGGUUUGGGAAUGACAACUUUUUACUCCAUCUGCAAUUCCUAAGUAUCCAGUUUGAGAAUAUCCAGAAGUAUUUGAAAGCAGGUGUGGUCAGGAGUCCCUUCAGUCAAACAGUUUAAUGAUGAUACGCAAUGCUCCCUUCAGGUUUUUCAUUAUAAACUGCUGCCCAAAAUAGCCUCUUAAAGCAGGAAAUUAUUAUUCCCUUUUUGCCUGGGGAAUGCAAUGGCACAAAAGUUGCUGAAUGCUGCAGGUGAGCAUUUGGCGGUUGUUCCUUCUGCCCAGAAACCUGAGCCUGGUCUCCCGUGCCAGUGAAUAUAGGCUAAAAUGAUUUGCAUAUGAUCAGGCAUCCUAAGCACCCUUCCUUCUCAUAAUGUAUCUUACUGUUACUUUCCUCUCCUUCCCCUAAUUUUUCAUCUUUUCAUUACUAUGAAUGUGUUUGGGUGGGUUUGUUUCGUUUUCACCAAGAACUUAUAACACCUGGAAUUGAGUUAACUUUUUGUGAGCCAAGUUGAGAUUUCUUCUACCUAUCGAACCUGCAGGUUUUGAACUUCCUUACAUAUAGAAACGUUUGCUUUAACUUUUUUUUCUUCCUUUCUGAAUAUGAGUCUUAUGCUUUGUCUGUAAUUGGUAAUGUUGAAAAAUUCCUUGAAACAAAUUUCUUUAAUAAUACUUCACAUCCUCACCAUAGAAACAGUAGCUGAUGUUCAGUCUGUGAAAUAAAUACUGAUGGGAACAAACUAAAAAUAACUUUAAUGGCACUAAGUUGAUUUUUCCAGAUUAUAAAAGUAUCUAGUAUUCCCCAGUUUAUUGGUAGUUCCUUUAACAGUGGUGGUGUGAUCAGAAUGAAACCAGCUGAAGUUGUCAGAGCUUCAUCAGUGGCAGAGAAUGUGUCACACAGGGGAUAUGGAAUCAAGAUUUUGCUGCCAAACUUGUCCUUGCUUACUACUGUCACAUUGCUGUUAAUAGAAGCAAAAUUAUACCUUCAGUUACCUUAUUUUUCAUCUUUUUACAUUAUUACUGCAGGCUUUUCACUGCAGUCUUAAUUAAAAUGAAUUUAAGGAGUUUCCGUUGAGUUAAUGGUUCUUCUUAAGACUGCUUGAAACUAGUUAGUCUUUUCUCAUACUGUUUCUUUCUUUGAGCUUUCUCAGACAUAACUAUGUUAAAAAUUUGUCCUGUCAUAGACUCUGAAAGGUGUAACUUUUCCCUUCUAGGCAAAACUGAAGAUAAGACAUUUGCACUACUAACUGAUGUUUUCUCAAGUGUCCAGGAGCAAUUACUUGAUGAGGAAACUGCAAAAUUAUUGCAUACCAUAUCCUCAAAGUCUAGCUAUGAACAAAACAAAUACUAAUAUAAUAAAAUUUUUGUUUACUAG